rnacentral:rRNA from 1 species
UACGAAGGGGGCUAGCGUUGCUCGGAAUCACUGGGCGUAAAGGGUGCGUAGGCGGGUUUUAAGUCAGAGGUGAAAUCCUGGAGCUCAACUCCAGAACUGCCUUUGAUACUGAAAGUCUUGAGUAUGGGAGAGGUGAGUGGAACUGCGAGUGUAGAGGUGAAAUUCGUAGAUAUUCGCAAGAACACCAGUGGCGAAGGCGGACUCACUGGC